GGUUCAACCCACUUUCGGCCUGGCGCAUUAGGGGGGCGCUAGUAUAAAUAGUGGCCAUUUGAGCAUUCCUGGAUCGCUUACCUGUGAUCUCCUUUUUGGUCACCUGACUUCCCUUGGUGUUGCAGAGAUCAUCUGCAGGUCACCCUUCUGAAGCCUCCAUCGCAGCUGGUCGUAGCCGUAGCAGCCUCCUAUGAGCCACUCUGCUCAUGAUUCGUGAUGCUGUUUACUCGGAAGUGUGGGCCUUAGUUUUACUCAACGCUAUGCUAACUGAAGUGCUGCUGCUUUGCUUUUACCGUCUGUUCCUGUUGCGAGGUUUCUUUUCCUGCUGCUGCCAGCCUUUUAAA
ensembl:lncRNA